GACGAACGCUGGCGGCGUGCUUAACACAUGCAAGUCGAACGGAAAGGCCCUGCUUUUGUGGGGUGCUCGAGUGGCGAACGGGUGAGUAACACGUGAGUAACCUGCCCUUGACUUUGGGAUAACUUCAGGAAACUGGGGCUAAUACCGGAUAGGAGCUCCUGCUGCAUGGUGGGGGUUGGAAAGUUUCGGCGGUUGGGGAUGGACUCGCGGCUUAUCAGCUUGUUGGUGGGGUAGUGGCUUACCAAGGCUUUGACGGGUAGCCGGCCUGAGAGGGUGACCGGCCACAUUGGGACUGAGAUACGGCCCAGACUCCUACAGGAGGCAGCAGUGCGGAAUAUUUCACAAUGGGCGGAAGCCUGAUGCAGCAACGCCGCGUGCGGGAUGACGGCCUUCGGGUUGUAAACCGCUUUCGCCUGUGACGAAGCGUGAGUGACGGUAAUGGGUAAAGAAGCACCGGCUAACUACGUG
rnacentral:rRNA from 1 species